UCUCCGUAGGUGAACCUGCGGAGGGAUCAUUACAGAGUUCAUGCCCUACCGGGUAGAUCUCCCACCCUAUGUUAUUAUUACUUUGUUGCUUUGGCGGGCCGUUAGGCUCCGGCCCGACUACCGGCCCCGGCUGGUAAGCGCCCGCCAGAGGACCCAAAACCCUGAAUAUUAGUGUCGUCUGAGUACUAUAUAAUAGUUAAAACUUUCAACAACGGAUCUCUUGGUUCUGGCAUCGACGAAGAACGCAGC
rnacentral:misc_RNA from 1 species